rnacentral:tRNA from 1 species
CCCGGGGUAGCUCAGCCUGGUAGAGCUUCCGGCUGUAGACCGGAGUGCCGUCGGUUCAAAUCCGGCCCCCGGGA